rnacentral:lncRNA from 1 species
GGGUGGAUUUUUUCGCAACGAACGCAUGCAAUCUUCCUAAAUAUGCACUAGAACAUGUUUGGGAGUGUUUUUGGGCAUUCGGUUCCGGCACGAAAAAUGAUGCAAAACGGGUGCAUUUCGGCACCCGAAUGCACUAUUGCCGGAGAGCGAAACUCGGGUGGAUUUUUUCGCAACGAACGCAUGCAAUCUUCCUAAAUAUGCACUAGAACAUGUUUGGGAGUGUUUUUGGCCAUUCGGUUCCGGCACGAAAAACGAUGCAAAACGGGUGCAUUUCGGCACCCGAAUGCACUAUUGCCGGAGAGCGAAACUCGGGUGGAUUUUUUUGCAACGAACGCAUGCAAUCUUCCUAAAUAUGCACUAGAACAUGUUUGGGAGUGUUUUUGGGCAUUCGGUUGCGGCACGAAAAACGAUGCAAAACGGGUGCAUUUCGGCACCCGAAUGC